rnacentral:snRNA from 1 species
UUUUAUGCGCUUGGGGCAAUGAUGCAACUAGUGAGGUACUAACCGAGGCGUGUCAAUUCCUAGUUGAAAACUAUCUUCAAAAUGAUGAGAGAUACGUAUUAACAAAUGUAACACUAAUUUUAUGAAAAUGAAAAUCGUAUUUCU